rnacentral:rRNA from 1 species
GAUGAACGCUGGCGGCGUGCCUAAUACAUGCAAGUCGAGCGAACAGACGAUGAGCUUGCUCCUCUGACGUUAGCGGCGGACGGGUGAGUAACACGUGGAUAACCUACCUAUAAGACUGGGAUAACUUCGGGAAACCGGAGCUAAUACCGGAUAAUAUAUUUAACCGCAUGGUUCAAUAGUGAAAGACGGUUUUGCUGUCACUUAUAGAUGGAUCCGCGCCGCAUUAGCUAGUUGGUAAGGUAACGGCUUACCAAGGCGACGAUGCGUAUCCGACCUGAGAGGGUGAUCGGCCACACUGGAACUGAGACACGGUCCAGACUCCUACGGGAGGCAGCAGUAGGGAAUAUUCCGCAAUGGGCGAAAGCCUGACGGAGCAACGCCGCGUGAGUGAUGAAGGUCUUCGGAUCGUAAAACUCUGUUAUUAGGGAAGAACAAAUGUGUAAGUAACUAUGCACGUCUUGACGGUACCUAAUCAGAAAGCCACGGCUAACUACGUG